GGGCCUUACCAUGCAAGUCGAACGGUGAUGACGGGGCUUGCUCUGUCUGAUCAGUGGCGAACGGGUGAGUAACACGUGAGUAACCUGCCCCUGACUCUGGGAUAACCGUGGGAAACGACGGCUAAUACCGGAUAUGAGACGUCCACGCAUGUGGAGCGUCUGGAAAGAUUUAUUGGUCUGGGAUGGACUCGCGGCCUAUCAGCUUGUUGGUGGGGUAAUGGCCUACCAAGGCGACGACGGGUAGCCGGCCUGAGAGGGCGACCGGCCACACUGGGACUGAGAUACGGCCCAGACUCCUACGGGAGGCAGCAGUGGGGAAUAUUGCACAAUGGGCGAAAGCCUGAUGCAGCGACGCCGCGUGGGGGAUGAAGGCCUUCGGGUUGUAAACCCCUUUCAGCAGGGAAGAAGCGAAAGUGACGGUACCUGCAGAAGAAGCGCCGGCUAACUACGUGCCAGCAGCCGCGGUAAUACGUAGGGCGCAAGCGUUGUCCGGAAUUAUUGGGCGUAAAGAGCUCGUAGGCGGUUUGUCGCGUCUGCUGUGAAAUCCUGAGGCUCAACCUCGGGCUUGCAGUGGGUACGGGCAGACUAGAGUGCGGUAGGGGUGACUGGAAUUCCUGGUGUAGCGGUGGAAUGCGCAGAUAUCAGGAGGAACACCGAUGGCGAAGGCAGGUCACUGGGCCGCAACUGACGCUGAGGAGCGAAAGCAUGGGGAGCGAACAGGAUUAGAUACCCUGGUAGUCCAUGCCGUAAACGUUGGGCACUAGGUGUGGGGCUCAUUCCACGAGUUCCGUGCCGCAGCAAACGCAUUAAGUGCCCCGCCUGGGGAGUACGGCCGCAAGGCUAAAACUCAAAGGAAUUGACGGGGGCCCGCACAAGCGGCGGAGCAUGCGGAUUAAUUCGAUGCAACGCGAAGAACCUUACCAAGGCUUGACAUACACCGGAAAAGUGCAGAGAUGUGCUCCCCGCAAGGUCGGUGUACAGGGGGUGCAUGGUUGACUUCAUCUCGUGGCUUGAGAUGUUGGGUUAAGUCCCGCAACGAGUGCAACCCUCGUUCUAUGUUGGCAGUACGCGGAUGGUGGGGCACUCUAAAGUACAUUGUCCGGGUUUAAUUCCGUAGGAAGGUGGCGGAGGACGUUCAAUUUUAUCAGGCCC
rnacentral:rRNA from 1 species